UUUGAAGGGUGAGAGGGAAGGGCAGAGCCAGAGGGAACCUGUAGAGUGGGGGCAUUGUGCAAGGUUUGAGGUCACCAUGCAUGGCAUUGCAUGGCUAACAGGUCUGGUGCCCCAGUUAUGGCGGCAGGGCUCUGAGCAGGCUUUUGUGAAGAGGACCCUGAAAGGGCCUGAUUCACAAGGUGCUCUGCAUCGAGCGUGCACUGCUCUGAUUUCAUCUAACAUCGCAUCUCUAGAGACCCAUGAGGAAGUUGGCUCAGACAAGCUGUGCAGGCUGCCGGAGGUCACACAGCUGGAGGCUUUAGAGCAAGAAUGGGGGUC
rnacentral:lncRNA from 1 species